UCAUGGUUCUAUUUUGAAACUUUUACUCCCUUACAGUCCUUGAAGUAACUGAUGCAACAUAAAAUCUUCCCACCUUGAUGUUUAAAUUUUUUUUAGGUAUGUUGGAGAAUAUGAUUCGAAGGGAAGGGGGAGGUGGAGUAAAAGAUAUUAAAAUAAUUUUCUUAAAAAUUAAAAUUUCACAUGUAAUUAUUUAAUUCAUUGCAUGCCACAUCAUUAGUGGGUUUAUUACACUUUCCUAAUUUAUUUUGGUAAUUAUUAAAAAGGUAUCAAAAUGACAUAAUGGAAGCCUGCAUGAGGUGUUUAAAAUGAAAAAUGUAUAGUUAAAGUAUCUAAGUGAAAGUUAGCGUCAACCUUAGGGGGUUGACGAUAUGUUUUGCCAAUAUUUGAAGUACAUACUGUCAAUAUCUGGUCUUGUUUUAAUCAAAAUGGCCACAUGGGCCUUUAUUAAAAAUAAAAAGUCUUAUGGGCUUGAUAGGCCCAAAAUCAAUAAUAACAAAAACAAACAAAAGCUAAGCUAGUUUACAAUUCUAAGACGUGAAAUGUCUGGACAUCCGCAAAGAGAAAAAGUGUAUCUUCUUCUUCAUCUUUUUCUUUCUCACACAAAUCAAACCUAAUGAUCCGCCAUUUUGAUUCGACCCUUCUUGUAAUGAAAUAAAGGUGGAUUCGGAAUAAAAACUCCAUUUUCAACCUCGAAUUAUUUAAAAUCAGACUUGAAAAUUGUUGAGUUGAGGGUUUUUCACAUGAGACAUUCAAAAUUCUUACAAAUUCCAUGAAAACCAGCUCAAUAAAGACUUUUUCAACUUAAUAGGGGAAGAUCUGGUGAGUUCAAGGUUUUAUUUUGAAGUUUUUACACUCUUACAGUCCUUGAAGUAACUGAUGCAACAUAAAAUCCUCCCACCUUGAUGUUUGUAGCUCAACUUUUGGCAUGCUUGUCCAGAUAAGUUACAUAUAUUGUUGUUUUACCUUUUGAUAGCCUCGAUACGGAUAUUCCCCAAUUAGGUACUCUGACUUGUCAAUUCUAUUCGUCUUUACCAUGUUGUUGCCCCUAAUCGAUUUCUUUUUCAUGUUCCAGUGAGAUAUUUACCCAUCCUCCAAUUUAUCCCAUAGAAUGAUCUUAAUUAAAAGUUGAUGCCACUAUUUUGAACGCCAGGGAUGAUAGGUUAUUUAUUUUUCCGUUGUUAUAUCCAUACAAUGUCUUUGUUGUACUGGUUCCAUUAUUGUGCUAACUGUUGUGUAUUGGUCAUAUAAUAGUUGUUCCACAGAUUGGUUAUGUGAUACCAUCCUUAAUUAUUUUCAUGACUGUUAUAUUCACCAUUUUUGAUAUCUUCUUAUCCUGAAAUUAAGCAAUUUAGCUUUCUCAAUGUUAAUAGCCUCUUACUUCUGUUGGUCUUUCCUAUAAUGUUUAGUAUUUUAAUCUUUGUGUGCCUGCAAAACAGAAAGCAUGGUUAGUAAAAAAAUCAGUCAGUUUAUUUCCUUCUCUGAGAGUGUGCACCAUCACAUCUGUUUCAAACAUCACCAUUCUUAUUCUCUUGAUUUCCAUAGCAAUACACUAGCUCACCGGGGAACUUCCCAUCUAUUAUCUUCUUUAGACUAAAAGAUCCAGUCUCGUGUUAGAGUAAGAAGAUUAUGAUCAACACAAUAUUCCAGGCCUAGUCUUAAUGCCACCACUUCUGCCAUUAGAUUAGUCCCAUCGCCACAGCCUCCUAACUUUAGCAUAUAUAAAAUCUUCUUCUCUUUUUCUAAUACAAAAAGCCCCUGAAGUAGGGCCUAGGUUUCCUAUGGAUGAACCAUCAAAGUUGCAUUUGAAAUUUCCUAAAAUGGGAGAAUUCCAAAUCACAAUUCAACAGACUAAAGUGGUAGAAUACUCCUCAAGAAACUUUACCAAGUCAGGCCAGUUUUUUAGUAAAUUUUUCAAUCAAGGAUAAUUAUACCUUGCCAGCAGAAUUAGGUUUUGAUUUACUUCGAUCUCCAUUCCCACAUAAGACAUCUUUUCCUGAUAAAUAGUGAUGUUCCUUCUCUUCCAGACCUGCCAAAUUAUGAACAUAGGAACUGUAUUGAAAACUAAUUAGAGCUUUGAAGCUCUAUAAGCUUUCCACCACUUCAUAACUGAAUCCCUAAGUUACAAAAAAGGGCCAUUAACUCCAGCUGCAGCUGCGAAGCUGCACCACAUUUUGUUAGCUAGGUAACAUAUAAUGAAUAAGUGCUUAAUAGAUUCAUGAACAUUUCUUCAUAACAUUUGCAUAUCACCUCCUCAAAAACCCUGAUCUUACUAGUACUUCCCUUAUGGGAACUCUUUUCUUCCAUAAUUUCCACAGAGAAAAAGGAUACUUUAAAAGGCAUCUCUUUAUGCCUGGCUUUUGAGUUUUGAAUUUUUUUCUCCCAAACAUCAAAUUUUGACCCAAGUUUAUCCAUAAUUGUUUGAAAUAUUCUUGUACCUCUUCUUGUUGUCUCACUAUAUCCCAAGCCGAUUUAACAGUGAAUUUCCUUGAGGAGUUGAGAAUCUACCUAGGUAUGUCCCUGUCCUCUGAAACUUAUUCUACCAUCAAAUAAUGUAGCACAUGAUUGCAUAUCUCUUUUGGAAAUAAUUCUUCUAGAAAACGAGUGUUCCAUCUUCCUUCAUCGAAUAAUUGGUUCACAUUUUCUGCUUGAUGAACAUCAGAACUAGUGAUUGGUAAGUAGCGAUGUAGUGCCCCAAGUUUGUCCAAUUAUCAUUCCAAAUAUUAGAAUGUCUACACGUAGGUUCCCACCAUAUCUCUUGAUCAACAUAACUUUGGAUCCAAUUAUAUAUUUCCAUGUUUGUGAACCCUCUCUACAUUCAACCACCUGAGGUGUAUACCUUUUUUAAUAUUUGUUCCACAUGAAUAUAGUCCAUGUGGAUUUCUAUGUUCUGAAAAUCCAUCACAGUUUGGCAAAUAAAACUUUAAAAUUAUCAAUUAGUGACCUAAAUCCAAGUCCACAUUCAUCGUUUGCCUGCAAAUAUCAGUCCAAGAAACCCAACGCUUGUUUUUGCCUACCUUCUUGAAACUUCAUAUAAAUCUUGAAAAAAAUCUAUGUAAAUUAGGGAUGACACAUUUAGGAGGAAUUACUACAGACAAUAGGUAUAUACGGAUUGUAUUUAACAUAUUAUUGAUCAAUACAGAUUUAUCUCCAAAAGAUAAAUUCUCUCUUUCCAAGACUGAAGCUUAUUAUUUACCUUUUAGAUCAGCUCUGAAAAAUUUAUUUUCCUCUUUAUUGCAUGACCGGUCUUCCACUUCCUGAGUGAUAGCAUUUGUUGUUUUAUCAUGGAUAUUAAAAGAACUUUUUUAUUUAUUAAUCUUCUGCCCUGACUAUUGUUCAUAUUCCUCCAAUGUACCCAUCACCAAUUGCAAAGAUAUCUUAUCGGCUGACACAAAUAAAAUAGUGUCAUUUGCAUAAGCUAGAUGGUUAAUUUUGUCACUUCAUUUUGGCUUUCCAAAGCCCUUGAGGUCCUUCUUAUUAAAUAAAGAGUUCAAUGCUCUAGCAAUCACUUCUGCAAAUAAGAUAAACAGUAUAGGGGAUAAAGAAUCUUCUAGUUUCAUACCUCUUAUAGAAUGAAAGAAACCAUAGAAUUGAACAUUUAUAAAAGUUAAAUACUAGUUAUUAACCACCAGCCUCCAGAUCAUAUCUACUACUUUGUGAUCAAAACCCAUUUUUCCAGCAAUCCACUAUAUCGUAUUUUUUUAGCCAUGUCAAGUUUUAUCACUACAUUAGCAUAAUUGGCCCUGUUUCUAAUGUCAGUAAUGAUUUCUUGAUACCAAAGGACAUUUUGAGUGAAGUUUCUUCCUUUUACAAAACCAGAUUGGUUUUAUUAAAAUCGGCAUAGGAAGAUGUGUCUCAAGUCUAUUAUGAAGCUCUAUAGAUAUCACCUUGAUAAGAAAAUUACUUGAAAUAAUCGGUCUCAUAUUUGUCAAACACUGAACAAUGUAUUUUUUAGGCAACAAGACUAAUAUCUUUAAAAUUCAAGCUAUAAUAUUAGAAUCAUUCUUCAAGCAUAUAUACAAUCAGAAAUAGUAAUUUGGUAGUAUGAUGAGUGAUUUAGACAUGAAUUAAGGCCACAAAUAGUUCCUAGCUCAUGGCCAAGUUGAAAACUUCCUUACUGAUUGACUUUUUGUGUAGGAUCUCUCUAUAGUCAACUUCAAAUGAGUUUUACUUAUAGAAUAUUAGAAAUUCUGAAUCUCAAGAUCCACCAAAAAAAUCUCCUUGAAUCUUCUUUCCAACACAUCUAAUUUUAUCUUAACCCGAUAUCGGAGUAAAAGGUUAUGACCAUUUUAGUAAAGUACUAUCAGGUUGUCCAAACAUACAAGCUGUCAUACGAACCAUGUGACUGGGACCCGAUCCAUAUGUGGUCCAACACACGAAUCCUGGUGCAAUUUUUCAACAACUUUUUUUUAUGUUUACUAAAGGUUUUUUUGGUCAUUUUUCAAGAUUUUUAGCCCAAUAUCAAGUCAUUUUAGGAUAUUUUGAGGCAUGAUAUCCUAUUAUUAUUCUGUUUUCUCCCUCAUAACAAUGACCAAGCUCCCAAACUCUGCCAAAAUUCUCUCAAGGCAAUAACAUUUGAUUUUCUCCUCAAGCUCAAGAAAAGUCAAGUUUCCACCAAGUUCUUCGAUCAAAAAGCUUCAUAAUCAGAUUCAGGUGCUUACUAUCAGGAUCCUAGUAAGGCAAAUCACAGCAUCCAGCCAGCAGGUGAUAAGUUCUCUUAUUUUUAGGACUCAAGUCAGUUGUAGAUCCAUUAUUUCAUUUGUAUUCAUAUGUAUUGAUUAGGGAUAGUUGGGGGGCUACGUCUCGGCUUCUUAUAGUCGGUAUUAAUAGAGGCUUCAUAGAUAAUUUGCUAGAUUUGUCGUAUUAAUUUUUUUUUAGAUCAUAGAGGUUGUAAAUAAACUUUCUAAUAGUAGAUGUAUUAAUCAAGUUUAUUCCA